rnacentral:rRNA from 1 species
UACGUAGGGCGCAAGCGUUGUCCGGAAUUAUUGGGCGUAAAGAGCUCGUAGGCGGUUUGUCGCGUCUGCCCGUGAAGGUCCGGGGCUCAACUCCGGAUCUGCGGUGGGUACGGGCAGACUAGAGUGAUGUAGGGAGACUGGAAUUCCUGGUGUAGCGGUGAAAUGCGCAGAUAUCAGGAGGAACACCGAUGGCGAAGGCAGGUCUCUGGGCAUUAACUGACGCUGAGGAGCGAAAGCAUGGGGAGCGAACAGG